GGCCCUCUGGGUUGUAAACUUCUUUUAUAUGGGAAGAAAUGUUCUGAUUCUUCAGAGCUUGACGGUACCAUAGGAAUAAGCACCGGCUAACUCCGUGCCAGCAGCCGCGGUAAUACGGAGGGUGCAAGCGUUAUCCGGAUUCACUGGGUUUAAAGGGUGCGUAGGUGGGCAGAUAAGUCAGUGGUGAAAUCUUCCGGCUUAACCGGAAAAUUGCCGUUGAUACUAUUUGUCUUGAAUAUUGUGGAGGUAAGCGGAAUAUGUCAUGUAGCGGUGAAAUGCUUAGAUAUGACAUAGAACACCAAUUGCGAAGGCAGCUUACUAUAUAAUUAUUGACACUGAGGCACGAAAGCGUGGGUAGCGAACAGGAUUAGAUACCCUGGUAGUCCACGCCCUAAACGAUGAUUACUCGACAUACGCGAUACACUGUGUGUGUCUGAGCGAAAGCAUUAAGUAAUCCACCUGGGAAGUACGAC
rnacentral:rRNA from 1 species